CAGUAGAUAGUUUAAUUAAAAUAUUAAUUUUGGAGAUUAAUGAUGAUAUGUAAAUUUAUCUUUUCUGA
rnacentral:tRNA from 1 species